AUUGAACGCUGGCGGCAUGCUUUACACAUGCAAGUCGAACGGUAGCGGGACCUAGCUUGCUAGGUUGCCGACGAGUGGCGAACGGGUGAGUAACGCGUAGGAAUAUGCCUUGUAGAGGGGGACAACUUGGGGAAACUCAGGCUAAUACCGCGUAAUGUCUACGGACGAUAGCUGGGGACCUUCGGGCCUGGCGCUACAAGAAUAGCCUGCGUACGAUUAGCUAGUUGGUGAGGUAAGGGCUAACCAAGGCGACGAUCGUUAGCUGGUCUGAGAGGAUGAUCAGCCACACUGGGACUGAGACACGGCCCAGACUCCUACGGGAGGCAGCAGUGGGGAAUAUUGGACAAUGGUGGGAACCCUGAUCCAGCAAUGCCGCGUGUGUGAAGAAGGCCUGAGGGUUGUAAAGCACUUUCGGUGGGGAGGAGGAUAUAUUGGUUAAGAGCUGAUAUAUUGGACGUUACCCAAAGAAGCAGCACCGGCUAACUCCGUGCCAGCAGCCGCCGUAAGAC
rnacentral:rRNA from 1 species